UACGUAGGGUGCGAGCGUUAAUCGGAAUUACUGGGCGUAAAGCGUGCGCAGGCGGCUUUGCAAGACAGAUGUGAAAUCCCCGGGCUUAACCUGGGAACUGCGUCGGAUACUGGAUGGCUUGAAUUCGGGAGAGGGAUGCAGAAUUCCAGGUGUAGCGGUGAAAUGCGUAGAUAUCUGGAGGAAUACCGGUGGCGAAGGCGGCAUCCUGGACCGACAUUGACGCUGAACGGCGAAAGCUAGGGGAGCAAACGGG
rnacentral:rRNA from 1 species